rnacentral:rRNA from 1 species
ACUCCUACGGGAGGCAGCAGUGGGGAAUAUUGCACAAUGGGCGCAAGCCUGAUGCAGCCAUGCCGCGUGUAUGAAGAAGGCCUUCGGGUUGUAAAGUACUUUCAGCAGUGAGGAAAGGUGGAGUCGUUAAUAGCGGCCUCAUUUGACGUUAGCUGCAGAAGAAGCACCGGCUAACUCCGUGCCAGCAGCCGCGGUAAUACGGAGGGUGCAAGCGUUACUCGGAAUCACUGGGCGUAAAGAGCGUGUAGGCGGGUUAUUAAGUCAGAAGUGAAAUCCUAUGGCUCAACCAUAGAACUGCUUUUGAAACUGGUAACCUAGAGUAUGGGAGAGGUAGAUGGAAUUUCUGGUGUAGGGGUAAAAUCCGUAGAGAUCAAGAAGGAAUACCGAUUGCGAAGGCGAUCUACUGGAACAUUACUGACGCUGAGACGCGAAAGCGUGGGGGAGCAAAACAGGGAUUAGAUACCCUGGUAGACUGUCAU